GAUGAACGCUGGCGGCGUGCCUAAUACAUGCAAGUCGAGCGAACAGACGAGGAGCUUGCUCCUCUGACGUUAGCGGCGGACGGGUGAGUAACACGUGGAUAACCUACCUAUAAGACUGGGAUAACUUCGUGAAACCGGAGCUAAUACCGGAUAAUAUAUUGAACCGCAUGGUUCAAUAGUGAAAGACGGUUUUGCUGUCACUUAUAGAUGGAUCCGCGCCGCAUUAGCUAGUUGGUAAGGUAACGGCUUACCAAGGCAACGAUGCGUAGCCGACCUGAGAGGGUGAUCGGCCACACUGGAACUGAGACACGGUCCAGACUACUACGGGAGGCAGCAGUAGGGAAUCUUCCGCAAUGGGCGAAAGCCUGACGGAGCAACGCCGCGUGAGUGAUGAAGGUCUUCGGAUCGUAAAACUCUGUUAUUAGGGAAGAACAAAUGUGUAAGUAACUAUGCACGGCUUGACGGUACCUAAUCAGAAAGCCACGGCUAACUACGUG
rnacentral:rRNA from 1 species